rnacentral:rRNA from 1 species
UACGAAGGGGGCUAGCGUUGCUCGGAAUCACUGGGCGUAAAGCGCACGUAGGCGGCUUUCUAAGUCAGGGGUGAAAUCCUGGAGCUCAACUCCAGAACUGCCUUUGAUACUGGAGAGCUCGAGUCCGGAAGAGGUGAGUGGAACUGCGAGUGUAGAGGUGAAAUUCGUAGAUAUUCGCAAGAACACCCGUGGCGAAGGCGGCUCUCUGGGACGGUACUGACGCUGAGACGCGAAAGCGUGGGGAGCGAACAGG